rnacentral:misc_RNA from 1 species
GACGGAAUCAUGAAAAAUUCUAUUAAGCAACAUCGAGCUGCACAUUUACUAUUAUCAAUAAGUACGCAUCCUACGUGUAUACACAAUUACUAAAUAUACUUUAUUCAUCAUCAGAAUAUCUGUCCAAUGCAUACACUUAAAGAAAACAUCUCUUGGUUCCUCAGCAUUCAAAUAUCCUCAUAGAAUUGCGGACUGCCUGUCGACAGAGAGGACACUUCGGUGAUACCUCACGUUCAACUGAUAUAGCACAGAGUUGGCAACAAACAAGAUGCCCGCAUGGAAUGAAUGCAGAUCGUCUUCUCCUCAUCAAGCAUAUCACACACAACUGUCCAUCUGGCACAUCUCCUGCUUCCUCAUCUGCAUCAAUCAGAGGGGCAUCACCAUUGCUAGCAGCAUGGUUUUGUUGCUGAGACUGUCUAUGCUGCCUCCAUUCUUUCCACCUAUUCCAGUUCCUCACGACUGCAUAGCUGAGAACACCAAUUGAUAGUGAACCAAGAACAAUACCACUCCACAACAGUAUUUUUGUUUUGAAGGCAAGAUCUACCACCAUUUGAUCUUUACUCAUAUCGGACAGAAAAUAGGGAAGAUCCUUGCAAGAUUUUAUCUCAAGAACUCCAUUUCUAGAACUGCAAAUGCCAACAGCAUUGAUCUCCUUCCCUAAUGAGAGGAUUUUCUCCUCAUCAAGCAGCCCAACAGGGUAUUCAUGACCAAAAAGUGCCUGAAGGAAUGUAUAUGGAGAAGCAUCAAUAGGUUGCAAUUGAUGAUACAUUGUUGUAAGAGGCAGAGGAUGUCUUGAAGCAUCCAUAUUCACAAUAACAUAAUCUGAUUGAGGCCAUCGACCACCUUCAACAAGAACAAAAGGAACCGUUCGCAAUGAGAUUGAUUCUUGUUCUCUCCAAGAUCUGCCAAAGAUAGCUCGUAGAUCAGAAGUCCAUCCAAAGAAGCCCUUCCAUUCAUUGUAUAUACAAGUUUGAAUUCUCUGUACAAUAACAGCCUUAUCACCAGAUUCAUGCGCAACCAACACAUUAGACCUCCAGUUGCCAUCGAUGGCAGAUUUGGCCUCUACCUGUCCGCGUACAAUCACGAGCUUCUGAUUUUGGUCUUGGUCAAGAUUCUGGUUUUGGUUUUCAUCGGACGGCUGGGGAAGGUCAAGGAUGGAGCGGAGAUCGGAGACUCUAAGGGUAGGAGCCUUGCGAAUUUUACGAAGGGCUUUGGAAUUAGAUGUAAACUUCAGGAAGGAACGGACGGCGGCAUACGCAAGUGCUACGCCGAGAAUCGCUCCGUCGAAGGAUAGGGCAAGUUGGGAGACUAAAGAGGCCAGGGCUUGCUCGUGUGAAGACAUUUUCUUUUUUGGAAUUUUAUUUUACUUAUAUCACAUUUAGUGGUGGCGCACGUCAGGGGCACGGUGGCCGUCAAGGUGAUAGUGGUGGAGAGAGUUCGAGAAAUGGAGUGAUCUAG